rnacentral:rRNA from 1 species
AACGAACGCUGGCGGCAUGCCUAACACAUGCAAGUCGAACGAUGCUUUCGGGCAUAGUGGCGCACGGGUGCGUAACGCGUGGGAAUCUGCCCUUGGGUUCGGAAUAACAGUGAGAAAUUGCUGCUAAUACCGGAUGAUGUCUUCGGACCAAAGAUUUAUCGCCCAGGGAUGAGCCCGCGUAGGAUUAGCUAGUUGGUGGGGUAAUGGCCUACCAAGGCGACGAUCCUUAGCUGGUCUGAGAGGAUGAUCAGCCACACUGGGACUGAGACACGGCCCAGACUCCUACGGGAGGCAGCAGUGGGGAAUAUUGGACAAUGGGCGCAAGCCUGAUCCAGCAAUGCCGCGUGAGUGAUGAAGGCCUUAGGGUUGUAAAGCUCUUUUACCCGGGAUGAUAAUGACAGUACCGGGAGAAUAAGCUCCGGCUAACUCCGU